AACAGAGAGGAGAGGAAGUGUGAGUGCUGUCACUCAGCAUGUAGCGUGUUGAGCUAACGUAGCUAACAGCUACUCAAGUAAACCAGAGAACAGUCUAUUGUGCAGAGUGAAGUUCACCAGCAGCCAGAACUGUGACCUGGAGCGGACACACAACAUUGACAACUGAUGAGCAUGUGUGACUGGACCCGACGCUAGAAGAGCCCCCACAGCGUCGGGAGCUCAGUCUGGAGGGCGGCUGGGACCCGAACACUCCACCUACCGACACACUGCAGCCAGGGGGAGGAGUGAAGCUGAGGAAUGCAGCUCUUCUGGAUGCACCGCCUGACAAGUGGUGCAGCUCAGUUG